ACUGUAACAAAUUUCUGUAGUUUUCACAGCAUUAUUACUGUAAAAUGAGCAAAUGCUUACUGUAGAACUUGUAUACAGCAAGUUGCUGUAGAUCUGCAAAGCAUCAUGGUCUUUUUUCAACGGCGGGUAAAUUCUACAGUAAAAAUAUUUUUUCUGUGAAUCACAAUACAGCAAUUUCUAGAGGAUUUUUUCUUCAGCCAAGGAAAGCUACGAGAUUCCACACUUUCAUCUGAAUUUUUACUUCAGAAAGGGUUGAUGACGUAUGGACCCUGCAUAUGCAAGUGCGACGACCUCCGCAGGCUGAAACCAGUCUCUCGAGCUGAAAGAAAACGCAGCUGAGGAGAUAUGAGACUGCAGACAAGAGCCAUCGACCAUAGUUCCAGAAAACUUCCACCUAAACAGAUGCUGAGGCCCAGAUUUCCCUGCCAAGCACUCCAAGGCUCAUCAUGCUCUGAGAGUCCAUUCUGGGGGCAAAAAAUGGAUGCUUUCCAUCGAGGGCAGAGUUCUCCUCCAAUUGAGUGACCGUUGUGAUUUCACUUCUGCUCUAGCCAUGUAUGAUGCAGCCACUACAUUGGAAUUUAUCCAGAGGGUAGAGUCCAGCCCAGGAAGUCAACUAGUUCAGGUCCAGUUUUAAAAGAAUAAUAGUUCUGAAAAAAAAAACCGUCUUGGAGAAAAACAAUAUUCAGGUUUGAAAUCCUGCUGUAAAUGUAAAUCAUUUAAUUUUUAUGCAUUUGUAAUUUACCAGAAACAUUUUAAUAAAUAUUGAUUGUUUUGUGUGUUCAGAAAAGUGUUUUUGUAUGAAGUGUUGAAAUUAAAUGAAAUAUUCACAGAAAAAUGUUAACAUAUAAAAAAAAUGUAUGUGUUCAGAAAAGAUUUGAGAUGUUCACAGAAAAAAUGUAACAUGUUGAAAAAAAUGUAUGCUAUGCUAUUUUUAAAUUAUGAAUUUUUGUAAUUUAAAGUGAGAAAAUAAAUGCCAUUUUUGUGACAAACAGUGUCUUCAUUUUACAGUACACAAAAUAAAUGCAGUAAUCCCUAUUACAGUAGUAGUUAUGAAAUACAGUACUGUGAUUAUUACUGUAAAAGAGUUCACAGUAAUUUUAAUUUUACUGCAGUUACAUUUACAGUAAGAAUACUGUGAAAUGAAAUACAGCAACUUACUAGCUAAUUGCUGCCAGCAAGUUACUGUAUUUUUCACAGUAUUC